GCAAAAGCUCAGAUUUGAAAGCCGCAAGGCAUUGUAUUCUGAAGCCGUUGUCCUGGGAACCGGUGUUUAAGUCUCCUGGAAAGGAGCGCCAUAGAGGGUGAUAGCCCCGUACGACACUGACCCCAUUGUAGGACUUCGGCGUGGAGUCGAGUUGUUUGGGAAUGCAGCUCAAAAGGGUGGUAUGCUCCAUCUAAAGCUAAAUAUCUGCGAGAGACCGAUAGCGAACAAGUACUGUGAAGGAAAGAUGAAAAGAACUUUGAAAAGAGAGUGAAAAAGUACGUGAAAUUGUUGAAAUGGAAGGGUAGGCCGCUAACCACGCAGAGUCGUGUCUGGGGGGAGGAU
rnacentral:rRNA from 1 species